UCUUUAUCUCUUGCUUUUCAAAACAAGUUCUCAGCCCUACAACAACCAGCUGACUCCCAACAAACAAAGUGAACAGUACGGUAAAAGUGCGGAACGUCUGGCGACCCUGAUUUGAGAACUACGUUUUGAGGUCUCUCUGAGAUUUUAUGAUCUAGAGCGGACUCUGGAGCUUCUUCGUGGUGAAACUGCCCAAGCAACGAAUCACCAAGUCUGAGGAGAAUCCUGUCAUCAGAAUGGCUACAGAACCCACAGGAGAAUCUGCCACAAUUGUAGACACAGUCGUUUCACUCACCCCUGACUACUCGGAAACAGCUCCCGUUGUAGACGCGCCCAUUUCCCUCGCCCCUGACAGCUACUCGGAUUCAGUGUCCUCGUGGACGGCGGUUCUGAUGGCGGUGGGCGGCAUGCUGGUCGGCGUGGCCUUCACCUGGCUGGUCAUGCACAGCAGGAAUCGGAGGAAGACGAGGAAAAAACAGAAGCUCAAUCCUCCAGGAAUGCUAAGAACUGCUCUAUAAGAUCACUUCACUUUGGCUUUACUUGAAAAUGAUCUUCAAUUUGUAGAAAUGUAUAGGACAAAUAGCAAAAAUGUAUAGUUUUUUAACAAUUUAUUCUGUUUAAUUGUUUUGUCGUUGCUGUAAUAGAUGAAAUGUGUUCCUCUGAAUUAAUGCAACAUACCAUUCCUGCUUAUAAUCUUUAUAAACCAUUCCUAACCUUUAAAAAACA